ensembl:lncRNA
GAGGGAAAAAUCUAUGUACUACUCAAGAACACAAUCAGCUCUGCAAACACUGAAGUGCACCACACACACACACACACACACACACACACACACACACACACACACACGCGCAGACAGACACGGACAGAUACACAGACAGACACACAGACACGGACAGAUACACAGACAGACACACAGACACGCUGACAGACACGCAGACAGACACGCAGACAGACACACAUAGACAGACACGCAGACACGGACACGCAGACACGGACACGCAGACACGGACACGCAGACACGGACACGGACAGAUACACAUAGACAGACACGCAGACACAGACAGACACACACGCAGACACACACGCAGACACACACGCAGACACACACGCAGACACACACGCAGACACACACGCAGACACACACACGCAGACACACACACAGACACACACACACAGACACACACACACAGACACAGACACACACAGAGACACACACAGAGACACUUAUGAUCAUUAUCAUCAAUCUUCUUUUUAUUAUAAUAAUAAUGAUAAUAAUUAAGUAGUGGUAGUAUUAUCAGUAGUAUUAUCAGUAGUAUUAUCAGUAGUAGUAUCAGUAGUAUUAUCAGUAGUAGUAUCAGUAGUAUUAUCAGUAGUAGUAUCAGUAGUAGUAUCAGUAGUAUUAUCGAUCAUAGUAUCAGUAGUAUUAUCAGUAGUAGUAUCAGUAGUAGUAUCAGUAGUAUUAUCAGUAGUAG